AGAGGAGACUGGAAUAGUCGGUGUAGCGGUGAAAUGCGUAGAGAUCGACUUAGAACACCGGUGGCGAAGGCGAGUCUCUGGACAGUUCCUGACGCUCAGGCACGAAAGCCAGGGGAGCAAACGGGAUUAGAUACCCCGGUAGUCCUGGCCCUAAACGGUGUUCACUUGGUGUGCGGGGAGUCGACCCCCUGCGUGCCGAAGCUAACGCGAUAAGUGAACCGCCUGGGAAGUACGGCCGCAAGGCUAAAACUCAAAGAAAUUGACGGGGGCCCGCACAAGCGGUGGAGCAUGUGGCUUAAUUCGAUGCAACGCGAAGAACCUUACCUGGCCUUGACAUGCUGGUAGUAGAAUCCAGAAACGGAGACGACUCCUCGCAAGAGGAGAGCCAGCACAGGUGCUGCAUGGUUGUCGUCAGCUCGUGUCGUGAGAUGUUGGCUUAAGUGCCGCAACGAGCGCAACCCCUGUGUUUAGUUGCCCGCGCAAGCGGGAUCUCUAAACAGACUGCCUCGCUUUAAACGAGGAGGAAGGUGGGGAUGACGUCAAAUCAGUAUGGCCCUUACGGCCAGGGCUGCACACGUGCUACAAUGCAUGGUACAGAGGGACGCAAGACCGCGAGGUGGAGCAAAUCCCACAAAACCAUGCCCAGUUCAGAUUGAAGGCUGCAACUCGCCUUCAUGAAGCCGGAAUCGCUAGUAAUGGCGCAUCAGCUACGGCGCCGUGAAUACGUUCCCGGGCCUUGUACACACCGCCCGUCACAUCAUGGAAGCUGUCUGCACCCGAAGUCGCCGCGCCAACC
rnacentral:rRNA from 1 species